rnacentral:rRNA from 1 species
GUCGAGCGGUAGAGAGAAGCUUGCUUCUCUUGAGAGCGGCGGACGGGUGAGUAAUGCCUAGGAAUCUGCCUGGUAGUGGGGGAUAACGUUCGGAAACGGACGCUAAUACCGCAUACGUCCUACGGGAGAAAGCAGGGGACCUUCGGGCCUUGCGCUAUCAGAUGAGCCUAGGUCGGAUUAGCUAGUUGGUGGGGUAAUGGCUCACCAAGGCGACGAUCCGUAACUGGUCUGAGAGGAUGAUCAGUCACACUGGAACUGAGACACGGUCCAGACUCCUACGGGAGGCAGCAGUGGGGAAUAUUGGACAAUGGGCGAAAGCCUGAUCCAGCCAUGCCGCGUGUGUGAAGAAGGUCUUCGGAUUGUAAAGCACUUUAAGUUGGGAGGAAGGGCAGUAAAUUAAUACUUUGCUGUUUUGACGUUACCGACAGAAUAAGCACCGGCUAACUCUGUGCCAGCAGCCGCGGUAAUACAGAGGGUGCAAGCGUUAAUCGGAAUUACUGGGCGUAAAGCGCGCGUAGGUGGUUAGUUAAGUUGGAUGUGAAAUCCCCGGGCUCAACCUGGGAACUGCAUUCAAAACUGACUGACUAGAGUAUGGUAGAGGGUGGUGGAAUUUCCUGUGUAGCGGUGAAAU